rnacentral:rRNA from 1 species
UGGGGAAUUUUGGACAAUGGGCGCAAGCCUGAUCCAGCCAUGCCGCGUGCGGGAAGAAGGCCUUCGGGUUGUAAACCGCUUUUGUCAGGGAAGAAAUCUUCUGAGUUAAUACCUCGGGAGGAUGACGGUACCUGAAGAAUAAGCACCGGCUAACUACGUGCCAGCAGCCGCGGUAAUACGUAGGGUGCAAGCGUUAAUCGGAAUUACUGGGCGUAAAGCGUGCGCAGGCGGUUUUGUAAGACAGAGGUGAAAUCCCCGGGCUCAACCUGGGAACUGCCUUUGUGACUGCAAGGCUUGAGUGCGGCAGAGGGGGGAUGGAAUUCCGCGUGUAGCAGUGAAAAUGCGUAGAUAUGCGGAGGAAACACCGAUGGCGAAGGCAAUCCCCUGGGCCUGUACUGACGCUCAUGCACGAAAAGCGUGGGGAGCAAAACAGGAUUAGAUACCCCUGGUAGUCCACGCCCUAAAACGAUGUCAACUGGUUGUUGGGAAAGGUUCCUUCUCAGUAACGUAGCUAACGCGUGAAGUUGACCGCCUGGGGAGUACGGCCGCAAGGUUGAAAACUCAAAAC